ensembl:lncRNA
GGGGAGAAAGAGGUGAGAACGGGGAAAGAGAGAUGGGGAGAAAGAGGUGAGAUCAGGGAAAAAGAGGUGGGGGAGAAAGAGGUGAGAUCGGGUAAAGAGAGAUGCGGGAGAAAGAGGUGAGAACGGGAAAGAGAGAUGGGGAGAAAAAGGUGAGAACGAGGAAAGAGAGUUGGGGAGAAAGAGGUGAGAACGAGGAAAGAGAGGUAGGGGGAGAAAGAGGUGAGAACAGGGAAAGAGAGAUGGGGAGAAAGAGGUGAGAUCAGGGAAAAAGAGGUGGGGGAGAAAGAGGUGAGAGAAAGGGAAAGAGAGAUGGGGGAGAAAGAAGUGAGAACGGGGAAAGAGAGAUGGGGGAGAAAGAGGUGAGAUCAGGGAAAAAGAGGUGGGGGAGAAAGAGGUGAGAUCGGGUAAAGAGAGAUGCGGGAGAAAGAGGUGAGAACGGGGAAAGAGAGAUAGGGAGAAAAAGGUGAGAACGAGGAAAGAGAGUUGGGGGAGAAAGAGGUGAGAUCGGGGAAAGAGAGAUGCGGGAGAAAGAGGUGAGAACG